rnacentral:rRNA from 1 species
UACGUAGGGUGCGAGCGUUAAUCGGAAUUACUGGGCGUAAAGCGUGCGCAGGCGGUUAUGCAAGACAGAUGUGAAAUCCCCGGGCUCAACCUGGGACCUGCAUUUGUGACUGCAUAGCUAGAGUACGGUAGAGGGGGAUGGAAUUCCGCAUGUAGCAGUGAAAUGCGUAGAUAUGCGGAGGAACACCGAUGGCGAAGGCAAUCCCCUGGACCUGUACUGACGCUCAUGCACGAAAGCGUGGGGAGCAAACAGG